rnacentral:rRNA from 1 species
UACAGAGGUCCCAAGCGUUGUUCGGAUUCACUGGGCGUAAAGGGUGCGUAGGCGGUCGGGUAAGUCUGAUGUGAAAUCUCACAGCUUAACUGUGAAACUGCAUUGGAUACUAUCCGGCUCGAGGAAUGGAGGGGAGACUGGAAUACUUGGUGUAGCAGUGAAAUGCGUAGAUAUCAAGUGGAACCCCCGUGGCGAAGGCGAGUCUCUGGACAUUUCCUGACGCUGAGGCACGAAAGCCAGGGGAGCAAACGGG